AAAUGAAUAUGACGUCUGUGUUAGCACUGGCUUAGCGACCCAGGUUUUUCUUGUCUUUGGAAAAACCACACGAUAUCGGCCUUCUCCUUUCUUAGUAAUUGCUUGUUCUCGAUUGCUGUUGUUGUUAUGAUCAAUAAUGGSCAGUUGGGUUCUGCCAACCAUUCCCUGGUAUGAGAAGUGCUUUCUCYUGGGUGCAUACUUUAGUAGUAGAGAAUGGAAAACUUCCAGAUUUCCAGUGUGAUGACAUUCAGUAAGCUUAACAAUGUCCUUUAGAAACUUCUGAUUACAGAUGACUUCUUCUAGUGCUACGUGAGCAGGUGACCCUGGCUUUAACCAAUUAAUUUCUUUGCGUUCUCGUCUAGAUAGCUUCUGAUGCUUGCAAGAUACAGUGGUUUUACCUUCUUUCCAGCUUCUUUGUCACCCAUUUGGAUARAUGCCAAACAUCAUAUUGGUGCUUGAUAGUAGGGUAGUUUUGCUGCAGUUUUGCCGUUACUUGAGUGUGACGGUCAGUAGUUAAGGAGCGUAUUGAGACUUUGUUGUUAAGUAAAUUAUCUAGUGUUCUUUUGCAA